rnacentral:rRNA from 1 species
UACGUAGGGGGCAAGCGUUGUCCGGAAUUAUUGGGCGUAAAGAGCGCGUAGGCGGUCCGAUAAGUCGGCUGUGAAAGUCCAGGGCUCAACCCUGGAAAGCCGGCCGAUACUGUCGGACUAGAGUCCGGAAGAGGCAAGUGGAAUUCCCGGUGUAGCGGUGAAAUGCGCAGAUAUCGAGAGGAACACCUGCGGCGAAGGCGGGUUGCUGGGCUGAUACUGACGCUGAGGCGCGAAAGCCAGGGGAGCGAACGGG